rnacentral:lncRNA from 1 species
GUUGGUUAUCAAAUCUGGUACUGCUUUAUGUAACCAUAUUACAUUUAAACAGAAUCUAAACAUGUAGAAAUAGACAAUAAAACUGUUUUCGACAAGAAUGUCUAAAAUCUAGCUAUUUUUAGUAACAUUGUCAUUAUGGAAAAACCGUGGAAAUGUAUGCAAAAGUGGUGAUGAGCUGGCCAUUUCAUUAGUUGACAUAGCCUUUACAAAGCUUACCAAAACUUUCUUGAAAACAUUAAUUUUACAGCGAAUCUCUUCUAAGCAUGGAAAACCCAGAAAUCUUGUUGUUUAUGUCCGCAUACGACCAUAUGGGGAAAACCAGAAUUGUAGUACCCACGCCCUCUAGCGUUCGG